rnacentral:rRNA from 1 species
UACGUAGGGCGCAAGCGUUAUCCGGAAUUAUUGGGCGUAAAGAGCUCGUAGGCGGUUUGUCGCGUCUGCCGUGAAAGUCCGGGGCUCAACUCCGGAUCUGCAGUGGGUACGGGCAGACUAGAGUGUGGUAGGGGAGACUGGAAUUCCUGGUGUAGCGGUGAAAUGCGCAGAUAUCAGGAGGAACACCGAUGGCGAAGGCAGGUCUCUGGGCCACUACUGACGCUGAGAAGCGAAAGCAUGGGGGAGCGAACAG